UGAACAAUACAGAAGAUCCUCUUUUGAGGGGUCUUCCUCUUGCUUUCCAGACUGGCAGCCUCCAGAAAGCAAUCUGCAUCGUGGAGAUGGCUCUAUGGGUAAAGGACUCGCCUUCAAGCAAGAUGACCAGAGGUGGGGCCGUCAUCAUACAUGUGAGUACCAGGGUUACUGGACAUUGAGCAUAAGGUACUGAAGGAUCUGUGAUAAGACAAUCACAAGCUGAACAUCAAGAUUAUUUCCAAUGAAAAAAAGACCAGAGAACACUUCAUCCCAAGUCACUGACGACCAGAAACUUGUGUUUCAGAACAACAGUAACAAGAUGUAUAUAUGGAGGUGUGAAUUCCACUUCUAGAAUUAACUAGGUCAAAAGUUUUUGCUGUUGCAUCCAAAUGAACCAAGAUAAGAAUCCACCGAGCAACCUUAUCCCUCUCGAGAAGCCAGCACUCACAUCCAGAGUGUGCAGUCUUUCCUUCCUUGACUUUUUUUUCCCCUUAAGACUAAACCUAAAACUAUGCUGGAGACUUUUCUUAAUAUAGACCUCAACCCUUCCUCAAGAUUAAAAAAAAAUCCAUAUUCUGAUUCCUUUUUAUGAAAAUUGUAACAUCAUAGCUAGAAUUACUUAGUUUGAACUGAAAUAGGAAUCCAUACCAGGGUCUCUUUUUAGACAAAAACCACUGAU
rnacentral:lncRNA from 1 species